AGGGUCGCUGGGAAAACUAAGCCUUACUGUCCAUCUUGCCUUCAGGAUAAUGUGAAAUAUGGCCUAAUUUUUGAAGUUUUUUUCUUAGAAAUUUUACUGAAUCCAAAAUAAAACAAGAAGAUCAUGAGUCCAGAAUUCUCUUUUCUCAACACUAGAUGGCAGUAGAGUUAAAGAAAAAAAUCCCAGCAGUUCUUUGUACAGGGAUUUGGUGAUUUUUCCCAUAAAGCUGCGAUGAGGAUGAACUCAGAGCAAAAUCUAUCUAGAAUGUGAAAUAAUACCUGUGGCUGAAAAGAAGCUCUUUUGACCCAGGAUCCUGGUCCUCUGCAUAACAGUCAAGACCAUUCUCAUUUGCCUGAAAGUGUUUUAGAGAAGAAAGAGAAAUUCAGGACCAAUCAGCAAUUCCCUUUUCCACUCUUAUGAAGAAAGAAAAAGGAUUUGUGUUAUUUGAGAUUUAAGUUACUUCCUUUUUUCCUAUGACAGGUUUUGGUAAAUGCCCAGCUCCAAUAAUACGUUAACAU
rnacentral:lncRNA from 1 species